rnacentral:rRNA from 1 species
CCUUGCCAGCCCGCUCAGAACUUAAAUGAAUUGACGGGGCCGCACAAGCGGUGGAGUAUGUGGUUUAAUUCGAUGCAACGCGAAGAACCUUACCUGGUCUUGACAUCCCGGAGACCCUUAGGAAACUAGGGGGUGCUUCCAUCUGGAAGAAUCUGGAGACAGGUGCUGCAUGGCUGUCGUCAGCUCGUGUCGUGAGAUGUUGGGUUAAGUCCCGCAACGAGCGCAACCCUUGCCUUUAGUUGCCAGCAGUUCGGCUGGGCACUCUAAAGGGACUGCCGGUGUUAAACCGGAGGAAGGUGGGGAUGACGUCAAGUCCUCAUGGCCUUUAUGACCAGGGCUACACACGUACUACAAUGGCCGAUACAAAGGGCAGCGACACUGCGAGGUGAAGCCAAUCCCGUAAAAUCGGUCUCAGUCCGGAUUGGAGUCUGCAACUCGACUCCAUGAAGUUGGAAUCGCUAGUAAUCGUGGAUCAGCAUGCCACGGUGAAUACGUUCCCGGGCCUU